UCAGUCCGGAUUAGUACAAGCAGCAAUAUAUAAGUGCAAUAAUCUUGGAUGCGACGUUAAACCCCAUUUCACCUCACCAAGAUAUUCUUCAAACAGGUGUUGAAAUCUCCCAUUACACAAAGCAAUAUCUAUGAGACCACAAACUUUUCAAUUUACCCAUGUCACUCUAGUCGACAUAUGUUGCGAGACUCCCGCAUUUCAUCUGGUGUUACGACCAGAUCACCCAAUCUCAUACAUUGAUAUCAUUAAUAUAUCUGCUGUUGAAACAUCAGCAAUUUGAUUCUAAUAUCUCCCCAAUGUCAACAGACAAGAAAUGUUGGAGUUCAUCACUAUUAAACAUCUGUUAUAUCGGGUUCUUUCAGAUAUUUUGCCCUACUUGUUGUUCCUGUUGGUGCUGUUGUUGUUGCUGUUGUUGUUGCUGUUGUUGUUGCUGUUGCUGUUGUUGUUUACAAACGUGUUCAGAAGAAGAAGAAGAAUUAUUAUGAACCAGUCAACACAAACCAGAGUCAGCCUACCAGCAAAGAAAAUAACGGGGUUCAACAAUCUCAUCUGACUCAAGUCACAUCGUGCGUCUAGUCACUUGGAGGAAUAGUGUACAUCUCCAAACUAACUCUCAUGUUGUCGAAUCAAACACCUUCCACCUUUACAUGUUUCUAUUUGAAGAUACUCAAGGAUUGUCAGGUUUAUAUGACUGAAUGGAUGGGGACACUCAACGAGUCCACAAGAUAUAGCAAGUCACAAAACAGAAGUCCAGGUUUACCUGUGGAGUUGGUGCUAUCGACGAAUGAUACCAGUAUUGAUAAGCUUCAUUAAUCAACCUUAGCAACAACAUCAACAUAAUCAACAACAACCUCCAUGGUCUAGUGGUAGAGGGGGCGGUCGGGUAGCCUAGUGGUUAAAGCGUUCGCAUGUCACGCCCAAGACCCGGGUUCAAUUCCCGACAUGGGUACAAUGUGUGAAGCCCAUUUCUGGUGUCCCCCGCCGUGAUAUUGCUGGAAUAUUGCUAAAAGCGGCGUAGAACCAUACUCACUCACUCACUCUAGUGGUAGAACAUGUGCACACUCUCAGGUGGUAUUAUGUGCGCUAGAUGUGUCUUGUGUCUUAGGCCAAGUGUUUGAGUAUGA